rnacentral:lncRNA from 1 species
GUGGGCAAAGGAACACGGGCCCGGCCAGAUGUCCACCUCUGGAAGGCCCUUAGCCACCGAGGGCAGCCAGGAAAACAGGCCUGCCCUAAAGUGCGCCGCAUCUUGGACAUUUGGGCCAGUGGUCGUGGCAUUGUCUCCCUGCAGUGCUUCCAGCAUGUGGUUGCCGUGGAGGCUUACACUCGAGAAGCAUGUCUUGUGGAUGCUUUAGGGAUCCGGACCCUGACCAACCAGAAGCAAGGACACUACUACGGAGUAGUGGCUGACUGGCCACCCACCCGGCGCCGCCGCUUGGGGGUGCAUCUGCUGCACCGUGCCCUCCUUGUCUUCCUGGCUGAGGGUGAGCGAGAGCUACGGCCCCAGGACAUCCAGGCCCGUGGCCGAGCACUGGGGAAUUGGCUAUCCAGCCUUGGUAGAGAUCAGGGUGUCUGAAUGUUCCAGCUGCCCUGUACUGAGAGCAGCCCAUCUCCUGCUCCAGAAGGCUGGUGGGGGAACACCAGGCCAGAUGUCCCCCGGAACAGAGGAAAGACUUUUAUUACAUAUUGGAACUGCUGGAGAGGUAGUGACCUCCCUGUCAUGGGAUGAGAAUAAGGGUAUGUGGGGGGAGAAACAUACAUUUGGAACAUUCUGGUGCUUUGAAACAUGCCAGUGCUUUGGUAGUUUGAUUCUAUCUGGGCUUAUCUCCCAGACACAGGGGACCCAAAAUGUAGGCUGGCCUGAGGGCUUCCCCAGCCACCCAGCUCAAGAAGGGACUCUGCCCAGCUCAAGAGUCAGGCUUGGAGUUCCUGUUGUGGCACAGCGGGUUAAGACCACAGCGUAGUGUCUGUGAGGAUGCAGGUUUGAUCCCCAGCCUCACUCAGUGGGUUAAGGAUCCAGCGUUGCUGCAAGUUGUGGCAUAGGUCACAGAUGUGGCUCAGAUCUGGUGUUUCCACAGCUGUGGUUUAGGCUGGCAGUGCAGCUCCAGUUCGACCCCUGGCCCAAGAACUUCUGAAUGCCUCAGGCGUGGCAUUAAAAACAGCAACAACAACCAAAAAAAGGCAGGUUUUGCUGCUUCCCAGCUGUGUGGAACCUCGGACCAGUAAUUUCUCUGAGG